AUAAAACCUUCAGGUACCAAGCAAAAGUUCUAGCUCUUAGUGAGCUACCAGGGUCCUUCUCCUAAUCCAUCCUUCCCUGGAACCCAGAAGAGGCCACUGACAGGAACAGCAGUGGCAAAUCCAUAACUUCCCCUCAAGGGCUGAUACAGCACAACUCUUGCUAGGCCUCCCCUGCCUCCAGAAGAUGGAGGCCCAAGCCCUCAAACCACCUACAAGGAUCCUAGAGCCUGCAAAGCCUUAGGCCUUCCCUCGUGGGGAGAACUAGACCCAUAAAGCCAUCCUGAUGGACUCCUCCCCUCACUCCCAGUACAGCAGGCCAAGCAGCAGCAGCUUUGGGGCAAGACCAGAGGGAAGGACACUAGCAUGGAGGGAAAGUGUGAGGGAUGGGGACAAGGACUCAAAGCACAGGCUGAGGACAAGGGCUGAUGCUGACCAUUCCCCUUGCCAAGAUCCCCCAACUCAUCCAACUCACACACCACACACACAAAGUCAAAAUCCCCAGAUCCACAAGAUAGGCAUCUCUGGCCUGGGAAUCAGGGUUCUUGCUGUCACCACCACAGGCCUGAGCCAUGGAGCCUGGAUCAGUAGGAACCGUAGCGAUCCUGAGUGGGGAGAAUAAAAACACAAAGUCAGAAUCUCUAAUCUGCAGGAGCUCCCCCAGUAUACACAAUGCCUCCCCAGCGCAUCCACAGCAGAACUAGGGCUGGCUGCUGCAGAGGGCUGGGGACCCCAUGUUGGAAGUAUGUGAUGGAAGCUGGAGUGAAAGCCACCUAGAUACUAAUGAAAAGGAAAGUCCUGCCUGACAGAACCUGGGGGGUUAGGGGAGAGCAGUAGCUUAGCCAAGGUCCCCAGCUCCGG
rnacentral:lncRNA from 1 species